UUCUUGAAGAGAAACAACUUUAUCAAGCCUGAGAUCCAGAGAAGUUUGAAGGAAAUUGCAAGAGAGAGAAAGAGGGGGGAGAGCGUUGUUAGAGCGCAGGGGGGAGGAGAGAGGAAGAGAGAGAGAGAGAGAGAGAGAGAGAGGAAGCAAGAGAAAGACAAGAGACGCAGAGAGAGAGAGACAGACGGACAGAUGGCAGAGAAAGCAUGCAGCAGUGGAGGAGAAACAAAGCGUGUUGACUGAGGAAGUGUGCAUGCCAUGCUGGCCAUGUGCUCGUGAACGUCCCGUCUACGUCUGCUCCUCCAGCGAGACUCCGACUCUUCUCAGCGCUGAGACAGUCAGCAGCUUUUUCUGCAAAAAGGCAAUCAGAAAAAGCGGACUGAUCCGGAGAGCUGAGCUGCACGCGACGAGAGGUGUCUGCAAAUCGGCUCUUUUUUUUCUACAACUUCAAACUCCCAACUGCUGCGAAACACCGAAGAAUACAGCCUCUCAAUCGUGCACAUCAUCGGUGGGAAGAAAGCAAAGACUGAGCUGAGCGUUCCUGUCCUGCUGGUAAGGAGAUCACACAUUAUCUAUGUUACUAACUGUUGCAGAGAAACUGUGAAUUCAGUAAUCAAGUGGGAAAGUUAACCCUGGCAGCAGGAGCCAGGCAUACAUGAGAUAUCUGUGUGUAAGAUUUCACACUGGGCCAAAAGACUUCAGGACAUUUUAAUGCAUCCACAUCACUCAUCAUUGUCCCUUCAUUCGAUCAAAAUCCUCCCCUGUAGCUGUGAUUUAAAGAUACCGCGGCUCAGUACAGUAGCCAUGUGCACACCAGACAUUUGACUUAAUGUAAACCCAGAAAAAUAACAAUCAGGCUGCAUGAUUCACAAACACACACAUCGAGCGUGUCCAGCCCACACACUCCCACGUGUUUCCCCUUCCUCUGCUCCCUCAGAUGUGAGGCACAUGACAUCAUUAAAAAAGGUGCUCUAAAAAAAUCAGUGUGGGUACUGCAUGUGGGAAGGCAGCGUGUGUGUGUGUGUGUGUGUGUGUUUUUGUGUUUCUGUGUGGGUGCUGGAAAUGAAAGCCAAAGCUCCAGAGCCGUGGGCCCGGUGCUGGCUGCGUGUGUGUGCCCAGCCGGAGGCUCUGGUCCUGGGCUGCGCUGCCUCCCACGCUGGGGUACGGCUGGGGCUCUGAGUGGGAGGAGGAGUGGGAGGGAGGAGUGGGCCGGGGCUGUGAGUCAGCCUGCUGAGAAGCCCCCAGAAUGGAGACACUGAGGGAAGAAACACAAGAGAGUCUCCUCUCCUUGCCGGCAUUUCGAAGAAACACUCAAGUUAAAAUGAGUUGUGUAUUCUUCUUGGUUGAUCAGACGGGGAUGGAAACAGUCUCAGAAAGUGUCUAAACUCUGCAGAAAAUCACACUGGCAUGCAGACAAGCUGCUGAGAGCUGAGAUGGCUGACGUAGUGAUGUAGCAAACGGUGCUAGGAGGAAGCCGGCAUCUUUCUUUGUUUUGCAUUUCAUUGGUGUUGAGGUAAACUUGGCUGAAUAAAUUAACUAACUCAAUCUUAACUUUUGAAUUAAAAAAACACAUUUUAGAAACCUUUUAGAUGCUUGUAAAAAGAUUAAAAUUACAAAAAGAUGCAUUUCACAAGUUAUAGUUAGUUACAUUUUAAACUUAAAAAAAAGAAAAUCAAACAAUAUCGAUACCAUAGCAACAAAAAUAUAGAGGUCCUCGACACCAAAUAUUCUGUAAUUUCUUGUUUUUAAAGAACAAAAGUUGCACACUGUCUUACUUGCACAAAUACUUUAGCAAUGUUUUAUUACCAAAAUAUUUAGACUAAGGCCCGACCGAUUUGGAAAAAUCCAGUACAGAUAAAUCUGCCAAUAUCUUUCCUUGAGCUAUGUUCCAUCUUUAGAGAAAGAUAGAUUUAGAUAUUCACAUUUAUUGCCUUAUCAAACACUUGUGGAAAAGAUUUAUAACGAAGACAAGAUGGUGACUCAACUGGAAAGUAACUGAGCAUGUACGUGCAUCACUGCUCGACACGCUGGGGAGUGAUGAUGCUUGUUGUAAUCCAUAUAGCGCCCUCUGCUGGUGAAAGAUAACUGCUAGUGUAAUACAAUGAAACUCAAAUUAAAAUGCUAUUUGACUUGUGAAUGAAUCCAGUUAUAGCGGCGCAUAUCUGCGAUAAAAUUAGCCGAUACUGAUAGUCACUUUAUACGCUAAUAUCGGCCGAUAUUAUCGGCAGGCAGAUGAAUCGGUCAGCUUUACUUUAGACAGUGUGCAGGAGCUUGCCUUCAAAUUUUAACGAGCUCUUUUCUCACACACAUAUCAUGAAAUAGGCAGUUUUCCAAAGCUUCAGUGCUUUUUCAUUGUGACUUUUAUUCAAAUAAAACAGACUGUAUCGGUUGAUAAUUCGUUGGAUCGAAAGUUCUGAAGGAGGACCAUUUCGACGACCUUAAGUUGAAUCGUUUAACGGGUCAUUUGUGUUUUGGUUAUAGCCAUAACACGGGGUUGGCUGAGGCUGUAGUGGAGAUGGAGCCCAGAGAUCCUGGAGACGCUCCUGACUCUCACUGUUGUUGCUUGAAGAUAAUUUGCGAUUUUGCUGAAGGAAGAAGCCGAACUCUACGCUGCAUGUUCAUCGAUGCUCCUGUGAUCACAUGCUUACAUUCUUCAUUUGUGUACGCAGUCCAUAAGUUAUAUGUGAUAUUUGAGAAAUCUGUGUCUGGUUUGUAAACAUGUGAAGUGUCUCAAAAGCUUUGAUGAUGUUUGGCUUCCAUCAAAGUCUGCAUGAAUUUGAGGGAUAAUAACAAGUGUAUCCCUCAUGAGCUCUUGACGAAUAAAGGCUUUAGUUUGUUGCACUACAGAGACAGUUUGAUUGGCAUUAUGUCAAAAAAAAAAAAAGAUCUAUACUGUAAUUGGGUUGUCGUCAUGUCAAACAUAUUUACAGAAAACAUUCAAUGUGAGCAUUUUGGAUGGAGAACCAAAGCUCCCUAGUUAUUACUC